GUUAUAUGGUCAAGUGAAUAAGCGCACAUGGUGGAUGCCUUGGCGAUAAGAGGCGAUGAAGGACGUAGUAAUCUGCGAAAAGCGUAGGGGAGCUGAUAAACGAGCUUUGAGCCUACGAUCUCCGAAUGGGGCAACCCACAUACUUUAGGGUAUGUAUCAUUAACUGAAUACAUAGGUUAAUGAGGCGAACCCGGCGAACUGAAACAUCUAAGUAGCCGGAGGAAAAGAAAUCAACCGAGAUUUCCCUAGUAGCGGCGAGCGAACGGGAAACAGCCUGCAAGUAAUAUUUAACGUUUUAGUGGAACAAGCUGGAAAGCUUAGCGAUACAGGGUGAUAGCCCCGUACACGAAAAGGCGUUAAAGGUACUAAGCUUGCGACAAGUAGGGCGGGGCACGAGAAACCUUGUCUGAACAUGGGGGGACCAUCCUCCAAGGCUAAAUACUCCUUAUCGACCGAUAGUGAACUAGUACCGUGAGGGAAAGGCGAAAAGAACCCCGUUUAGGGGAGUGAAAUAGAACCUGAAACCGUGUGCGUACAAGCAGUAGGAGCAGACUUGUUCUGUGACUGCGUACCUUUUGUAUAAUGGGUCAGCGACUUAAUUUAUGUAGCGAGCUUAACCGAAUAGGGGAGGCGNAGGGAAACCGAGUCUUAAUAGGGCGACUAGUUGCAUGGAUUAGACCCGAAACCUGGCGAUCUAUCCAUGGUCAGGCUGAAGGUUGGGUAACACUAACUGGAGGGCCGAACCCACGUAUGUUGAAAAAUGCGGGGAUGAACUGUGGAUCGGAGUGAAAGGCUAAUCAAGCCAGGAGAUAGCUGGUUCUCCUCGAAAGCUAUUUAGGUAGCGCCUCAUGUAUCACUCUUGGGGGUAGAGCACUGUUUGGGCUAGGGGGUCAUCCCGACUUACCAACCCCAUGCAAACUCCGAAUACCGAGAAGUGCAAUCAUGGGAGACACACGGCGGGUGAUAACGUCCGUCGUGGAAAGGGAAACAACCCAGACCAUCAGCUAAGGUCCCAAAAUUAUGGCUCAGUGGAAAACGAGGUGGGAAGGCACAGACAGCUAGGAGGUUGGCUUAGAAGCAGCCACCCUUUAAAGAAAGCGUAAUAGCUCACUAGUCGAGUCGGCCUGCGCGGAAGAUGUACCGGGGCUUAAGCCAUAUACCGAAGCUAUGGAUGCCGUACUUUGUACGGCAUGGUAGAGGAGCGUUGUGUAAGUCUGUGAAGGUGAGUUGAGAAGCUUGCUGGAGAUAUCACAAGUGCGAAUGCUGACAUGAGUAACGAUAAAGGGGGUGAGAGGCCCCCUCGCCGAAAAUCCAAGGUUUCCUGCUCAACGCUAAUCGGAGCAGGGUGAGUCGGUCCCUAAGGCGAGGCAGAAAUGCGUAGUCGAUGGAAAACAGGUUAAUAUUCCUGUACCGGUUGUUACUGCGAUGGGAUGACGGAGAAGGUUAGGUUAGCCAACUGUUGGAUAUGUUGGUUUAAGUGUGUAGGCGUGCUUUAUAGGAAAAUCCGUAGAGCUAAGCUGAGGCAUGAUGACGAGUCUCAAUGGAGACGAAGUAACUGAUACCAGGCUUCCAGGAAAAGUCUCUAAGCUUCAGGUAACAAACGACCGUACCCCAAACCGACACAGGUGGAUGGGAUGAGAAUUCUAAGGCGCUUGAGAGAACUCGGGUGAAGGAACUAGGCAAAAUAGCACCGUAACUUCGGGAGAAGGUGUGCCCUUGUUAGGUGAAGCGACUUGCUCGUGGAGCUGAAGAGGGUUGCAGUGAACUGGUGGCUGCGACUGUUUAUUAAAAACACAGCACUCUGCAAACACGAAAGUGGACGUAUAGGGUGUGACGCCUGCCCGGUGCCGGAAGGUUAAUUGAUGGGGUUAUUCUUCGGAAGAAGCUCUUGAUCGAAGCCCCGGUAAACGGCGGCCGUAACUAUAACGGUCCUAAGGUAGCGAAAUUCCUUGUCGGGUAAGUUCCGACCUGCACGAAUGG
rnacentral:rRNA from 1 species